AGAGAUCAUAUUUACAGGGAGACAGGCAAGCUCAGAGAAAUCCAAAGAUGGGGAAUACCCAGUGUCCUUGAAAAGAAAGGAUUCACUAUCCUGAGGAAGGUAGAGAAUGGUGUCAUAGCUAAGGACAAAGAUGGCGACCAGUUUGUCAUUAAAGAGGUCAAACUGAAUGAGGCAUCAUACUCGUGUGCUGGAGACAUAUUCUCUGAGGUUGAAAUACUCCUGCAGAUAAAUCACUGCCAUAUUUUAAGGACUCUUUCCAAGAUAAAACAGAUAAAAGUUAUUACGAAGUGAUGGACCAUAGUGAGAGUGGAAAUCUCGCACAAAAGAUCAAAGAUGAGAACCAGAAGAACAGGUUUCUGAACUAAUAACAUAUUGGUUGUGUUC